rnacentral:rRNA from 1 species
UACGAAAGGGGCUAGCGCUCUUCGGAUUUACUGGGCGUAAAGCGCACGUAGGCGGUCUUGUAAGAUGGGGGUGAAAUCCCCGGGCUCAACCCGGGAACUGCCUGCAUGACUGCAAAGCUAGAGGAUGCGAGAGGGUGGCGGAAUUCCGAGUGUAGAGGUGAAAUUCGUAGAUAUUCGGAAGAACACCAGUGGCGAAGGCGGCCAACUGGCGCAUUUCUGCCGCUGUGGUGCGACAGCGUGGGGUGCAAACAGG